rnacentral:misc_RNA from 1 species
AGGAAGAAAAUAUAUCCUUAAAUGGGUAUUUAGGCGAUAGAUUUGAUUUCUCCUCCGUUUUUCGAGUAGUGUGCUUUUUUUUUUUUUUAAUUAGUCAAGAGACGAACAUGAGUCGUCACCAUCACCAUCACCAUCACGGAGAUAGCCCAUACGACGAUCCCUUCUUGGCGUGUUGUUGCUGUCCUUGCUUCCUUGUAUCUUCCAUAUUUAGGGGAAUUGGAGGAUGCUUAUACGCUGCUUGUUACCCUUUUUUGAGGUGUUUCGGAUUGGACGAGAUGGGAGACCACCACCACCACCACCACCACCACCAC